CCUACGGGAGACUGCAGUAGGGAAUCUUCCACAAUGGACGAAAGUCUGAUGGAGCAACGCCGCGUGAGUGAAGAAGGGUUUCGGCUCGUAAAGCUCUGUUGGUAGUGAAGAAAGAUAGAGGUAGUAACUGGCCUUUAUUUGACGGUUAUUACUUAGAAAGUGCCGGCUAACUACGUGGCAGCAGCCGCGGUAAUACGUAGGUGGCAAGCGUUGUCCGGGUUUAUUGGGCGUAACGCGAGUGCAGGCGGUUCAAUAAGUCUGAUGUGAAAGCCUUAGGCGCAACCGGAGAAUUGCAUCAGAAACUGUUGAACUGGAGUGCAGAAGAGGAGAGUGGAACUCCAUGUGUAGCGGUGGAAUGCGUAGAUAUAUGGAAGAACACCAGUGGCGAAGGCGGCUCUCUGGUCUGCAACUGACGCUGAGGCUCGAAAGCAUGGGUAGCGAACAGGAUUAGAUACCCCAGUAGUC
rnacentral:rRNA from 1 species